ensembl:misc_RNA Metazoa_SRP Metazoan signal recognition particle RNA
GCCAGGCGUGGUGGUGCACGCCUGUAAUCCCAGCUACUCGGGAGGCUGAGGCAGGAGAAUUGCUUGAACCCAGGAGGCAGAGGUUGCAGUGAGCCGAGAUCAUGCCACUGCACUCCAGCCUGGGUGACAGAGUGAGACUCUGCCUCAA